CCCCUGAACCUGGGCUUCUCGUCGAGAAGAUGGUGUCAAUUGCGUUGAGAGACCAGUUGAUCAAAUCCAUGCCACUGGCUUCGCUGUCUGUUCUGAAUUCUGGUGACACCCUAUGUGAGAGCAGAACCCCAUCGCACUGUCGGGUCAAGUUCAUGUGAGCACAUGGGGAGCAGAACUGGUUCUCGCUCAAAGAAUUUUCUUCCACUGUUGAUUGUCCUGUAUUAUUUAUUGUUGCUGUCUACUAAUGUAUAAAUGUUUUUUUGCUGUCUAAAUGCAUGUAUUCAAGAGAGCAGGAGGGCAUCAUCAUCAGUGAUGAGGAGGACACUGUUUUCUUGAUUAUGUUAGACCUGCCCUAUAGCCAGGGAAGGAUCGAUGAGGCUCCACUGGAUUUGCAGACAUGAGCUACUGCCCUCACCAAUGAGUGCUUGAGGCUCUGGAAGAUCCAGCUACUACCCACUGGAAUAUGAGAAAAAUUAGAAAAUCCUGAGUGUCUUAUUUGCAGAAUGGAUUUGUCUGAAUAUAGUGGAGAAAUUGCCCUGCAUAACCUCAGGAGAGCCAGCCUCUACCUCAUUGCACAUCUAUCUAGACAGUUUUUUCAAAGAAAUUUGGCUGCAGCAUUGGAGUGAUGUGAGUGUGACCUCAGCAAGCCAGACUAAAUGGAUGUGAAUCAUACAGGAGAAGAAUAUAUACAUCAGAAUCAGCUUUUAUUGCCAUUCAAAGCACUUGACAUGAUAAGAACGAAACACAGUUUCUCAGGUCUAAACUAUAAAUAGAUAAAAAUACAAUACUAGAAUAAAAUAUCUAAACUGGGUAAAAAAACCUCUGAAGUAAAAAAGUAAUGUAUAAUAUUGCAAAUUGUAUGGCAGAACAGCAGCGACUUAAUGUGAUCAGUGCAAGUUGCAAGGGUAAGUGACAGAGUGACAUCAAGGCAUGUUACUACAGUGAAAGAUGUUCAGUUCAUUUGGGUGGUGGAGCAGUUUAACAGUCUAACUGCAGUCUUAACAUUACAUCUUAGCAAUGAAACACAGUCAGUCUGAAAAAGUGAAAAAAAACUUACAUGCUACAGCACUUAUGGCGUAUAAAAUGUUAUACUAGACCUAAUAUGUAAACUUUUAUGGAGGGCUGACACACACGGGAAACUCCUGUAUCUUUUACCUUCAAAAAACAAAACUUUAUUAACACUUUUCUACAUCGGCUUAGCUCACAGCUGCUUCCCUUCGGUCAUCAACACAAACUCAUUUACAUAUGUACAGUUGACAACUGAGAGCACAUUUUUCAUUUAUGCUAACAGACUUUCAUGUUUUUGUAUGAAUUAAACAUUUUAUGUUUAUAAA